AACGAACGCUGGCGGCAUGCCUAACACAUGCAAGUCGAACGAGACCUUCGGGACUAGGGGCGUCCGGGUGCGUAAGGCGAGGGAACCUGCACAUAGGUGCGGAAUAACUCGCCGAAAGGGGUGCCAAUACCGGAUAAUGGCUUCGGACCAAAGAUUUAUCGCCUUUGGAUGGGCCCGCGUUGGAUUAGCUAGUUGGUAGGGUAAAAGCCUACCAAGGCGACGAUUCAUAGCUGGUCUGAGAGGAUGAUCAGCCACACUGGGACUGAGACACGGCCCAGACUCCUACGGGAGGCAGCAGUGGGGAAUAUUGGACAAUGGGCGAAAGCCUGAUCCAGCAACGCCGCGUAGGUGAUGAAGGCCUUAGGGUUGUAAAGCUCUUUUACCCGGGAUGAUAAUGACGGUACCGGGAGAAUAAGCUCCGGCUAACUCCGUG
rnacentral:rRNA from 1 species